rnacentral:ncRNA from 2 species
ACCAUUACUGAGAGGUAAUGCUGAACGUACAGAAGUCAGCAGAGGUCAUAGUAGCUGUAUUGUUUCAGUGAAGGAC